CUCAGCACAAGCAGUAGUCCUCUCUCUCCCUCUCUCUCUAGACUAUCUAUCAAAACUGUAUUCAAUAGCAUUGUAGCAGCAGCCUAACUAAUAAGCUGAGUUCUCUCUCUCUCUCUCUCUCUCUCGGUUUUGGCAAGGGAGAGGACCAGAGGAGUCUCGCACCCUUUUUUACACUCUUUCCUCAGUCGUAGGACUAGUUUUUCACACUUCGCCAAUUCACUUCUCUCAUUCAUUCAUUCCUUUUUUACGUCCCAUCAUUUUACUUCUUCUGCCCCCCUUCUCUGCCCCCUUUCUUCCCCGAAAACGCUCUCCUUCUCACAUGUCAAAAACAAAGUACGAAUUUUCUGUUUAUCUAAGAAAAGAAAGACCCCUCCAAACUCCAUCAGCCUAAGCUCUGAAUACAGAAAAUUUCCAUUCCUCACGCAAGAAAAACAAGUACUACUAAUAUACUUGACGCACGGAAUAGGAAGGAAACCAAGAAACAUUCACCAUCACCACCGCUGCCACCACUCUACAUUAUUGUGUGUGCAAAACACAAACAAAUACUACUCGCUUCUGUUACAUCUUCUGCGGAUAGAAAAAGAAAGAAGGGCUAUAUGCAUCAUCCACACAUGAUCCUUCUAUCAAAUUCAAGAAGAGUUCAAAACCCUACCCACAUCAUCAUCCUGCAAUCUUAAGGUGGCCUUCGCCACAGAUCAUCAUUUCUUAGAUUCUGGGUCUUUUUGGUGGAUGGAUUCAGCCUCUGGAGGACCGGACUUGAGCGGGGGAGGAGAGGCCGGGCCAUCAUCAGCCAGCGGGAGUGGUAGCGCCGAAGGUGUAGGCGGGUCAACGGCUGCGCCACCCAGUCGUUACGAGUCGCAAAAGCGGCGAGAUUGGAACACUUUCCUGCAGUACCUCAGGAACCACAAGCCGCCGCUGACACUAGCUCGGUGUAGCGGAGCGCACGUGAUCGAGUUCUUGAAGUACUUGGAUCAGUUCGGAAAAACUAAGGUGCACGUGGCCGGGUGCCCUUAUUUCGGGCACCCUAAUCCACCAGCCCCAUGCCAGUGCCCGCUCAAGCAAGCUUGGGGCAGUCUUGACGCCCUCAUAGGACGCCUUAGAGCUGCCUACGAAGAAAACGGUGGAAGACCCGAAUCCAACCCUUUUGGUGCUAGAGCUGUUAGGAUUUAUCUCAGGGAAGUAAGGGAAAGCCAGGCCAAGGCUAGAGGGAUACCUUACGAGAAGAAGAAACGAAAAAGGCCGGCUGCUACGGCCGUGCCCGCUGUGUCGGUGGCUGCGAGUGAUGUUGGAGCUAGUAGUAGUGGCGGUGGGGAUGUAGGAGGAGGAGGAGGAGGUGAUGGUGGUAGUGGUGGCGGGCCUGGAGGUACUCCUACUACUGUGGUUGUUACCACGACAACAGUAUAGCAAAUUUUAUUACUACCAGCAGUACGUCAUUUCCAAUUUUUUUUUUUUAAUAUAAAAAUUUCCCCCAUUUUCUAGACUAAUUGUGUGCCUUCUAAUUGCGACUAUGAGGCUAUCUCGAAUUUCUUAUUGCACUAAAACUGCAAGAAGGAACGUCGGUCGGUGGAAAUUAUUUUGAUCAAUUGUGCUUUUAAGUUAAAAUUUUAGAACGAGGCAGCUGAAGUACGCAUGCAUUAUUUUGCCCAAAAAAAACAAAACAUAAAGGCGCAUAUAGAUAUAUUAAUUAAAGUGUGUUUCAUUCUCUUGCUGCCAACACUUCGUUUCCGGCUUUCUCCUCUUGCAUUACGUGUGUCAUGCUGAUUUUCCCUAUUUAGUUGUUUCUUUUUGUUUUGGGUACAUAGAUAGCCCUUUUGUUUUUUCAUGGCAACCAAGACAAUAUCCGGAAGGAGCUAGGAUACAGACCAGUGGUACUUCUCCAUCCUUUUUCUUCUAUUGUCUAGUGUAUAACUAACAAACUAUAUGGCAUUCUUCAUACUGGUCGAUGUCCUGCGGUGAGUGGGGUUGGGCUUCUCUCAUCAUUGAGGUAUGUGCAAUUGUUCAAAUAUGCAUGUCUACAAAUCAAUAAUAAUAAUGUCUGUUCUAUUUUUUGCCAUUUCACAACAUUACACAUUCUCGUAGGAGUCCAUGCCAAGAGCAAAUGCUGAUAAGCCAAGGGCAUAGGCUAUCAAGUAACGAAAAAUGGUACCUACUCAACACAUUCCUGAUCCCAAGAUACUCCUGGCAGAAGUCUUAGAGAAUUGAACCUGCUAAAGUGGCCUUGGAAUUUGAUUUUAUUCUGGGAAUGUAGGCACUAGUAGGUACUACUAGAACACUUAUGAUUCAUUCUGUUUUUCUCUCUGUCCAUGUUAAAGAGUGGUGUUUUGUAUCCCUCUUCCUCUUAGUUGGUCAGGGGUCUGCCCCAAUGUUUGUGCUUCGCUACAUAAAGAAGAUUAGUUUCAGGGUUUUCAAAUGGAAGCGACAGCGUAUGUGCAUAUAAACACACACAAUGACAAUAGGGACGGGAACAGCACUCAAAUAACUACGAGCAAGUAAACUACACUGUCUUCGGGCUCCAGGUAGUGGUAGACUGGUACUUACUCGAGGUACUGUUCUUCUUUGGUCCCCCAUUUAACUGGACGCUUCGGAUGCUGGGAUACCACACCCCAAGCAAGGGCCAUGAAAUCUACUUGUAGUUAAGCACACGUGGGUCUGGCAUUUGAUACAUAAGAGCACUUUACUUUCAGCUUUCAGGUGCCUUCUUUAUGUCCUACUUACUGAUCGAUCCAACAUUUCCUUUUUCAGGUUUUAGGUUCUUGAUUUUGCCCCUUUGGGUGUUUAAAAAAUCCAAACUUACGGAUCCUCGGGCAAGGCUGGCUUGCUUGUAAAGUGUUUGUUUCCAACAUCGUUAGAGUCAGGAUUCGGUCCUUUUAACUCGAUAUUUUGUACCAGCUGAUUGCGUUUCUGGGGUACGAGUUCGACCUUCACCCUGGUUAAAAUUUUGAUGGAAUCUCAAAAGAGUUCAGAAACAUCCCCGAGUCUUGCCUUUCUUGCACUGUUUCUGGACACGGUCGUUCAACUCAUCCUACACUUAUCAGCAGUCUCGUUUGCAAAACCUAAAUGGCCCUUCGUCAUGAAUGAAUUUAAUGAGUCUAGAUAGUGAGAGGAAACAGCAGGUUUACAUGGUCAGGAUCUAUUGCAUUCUGCCUCUCCCCCGGCCCCUUUCCUUUUUGGACAAUUCUCAUUGCUCAUCUGUUUGAAAAGGAUGGAGAAAAAAAAAAGAGAGUACUUAUCUCUUUGGGUGAUAUUAUAACUGCAAUCGGAAACUAACAGGGAGGAAAAAAGAGAAAGAAUAAAAGGAUGCAAGGGGAAUCUAGAAGAACAAACGAUAGACAUAGGGUGAAAGCAUGAUUGAAAUGGAAAAACGAGAUGGAGUGACGCUACUUUUGUUUAGAGAAACCUCCACAUCAGAAAGAAAAGGACUAGCAGCCAACCAUUGUCUGCUUUUUUGAAAUCAAGUAUUAUUAUAUAUGCGUGCAAUCUAAAUUAUUGUAUCUUUAUAAUUCAA